AUUGAACGCUGGCGGCAGGCUUAACACAUGCAAGUCGAGCGAGCGGCGGACGGGUGAGUAAUGUCUGGGAAACUGCCUGAUGGAGGGGGAUAACUACUGGAAACGGUAGCUAAUACCGUAUACUAGCAGAUGCGCCCAGAUGGGAUUCGCUAGUAGGUGGGGUAAUGGCUCACCUAGGCGACGAUCCCUAGCUGGUCUGAGAGGAUGACCAGCCACACUGGAACUGGGACACGGUCCAUACUCCUACGGAGGGCGGCGGUGGGAAAUAUUGCACAAUGGGCGCAAGCCGGAUGCGGCCAUGCCGCGUGUGUGAAAAGGGCCUUCGGGUUGUAAAGCACUUUCAGCGAGGAGGCGUUACUCGCAGAAGAAGCACCGGCUAACUCCGUGCCAGCCGCCGCGGUAAUAC
rnacentral:rRNA from 1 species